UAAGCCAUCCAUAUCACCCUGCAACUCCCAAUGGGCAACCCACUAAAGCUAAGCAGGUGUGAGCCUGGUCAGUACCUGGAUGGGAGACCUCCUGGGAAAAACUAAGGUUCCUGCUGGAA
rnacentral:rRNA from 1 species